rnacentral:rRNA from 1 species
UACGGAGGGUGCGAGCGUUGUCCGGAAUUACUGGGCGUAAAGGGCUCGUAGGCGGCCAACUAAGUCAGACGUGAAAUCCCUCGGCUUAACCGGGGAACUGCAUCUGAUACUGGAUGGCUUGAGUUCGGGAGAGGGAUGCGGAAUUCCAGGUGUAGCGGUGAAAUGCGUAGAUAUCUGGAGGAACACCGGUGGCGAAGGCGGCAUCCUGGACCGACACUGACGCUGAGGAGCGAAAGCCAGGGGAGCAAACGGGG